rnacentral:rRNA from 1 species
AGCAGCCGCGGUAAUUCCAGCUCCAAUAGCGUAUAUUAAAGUUGUUGCAGUUAAAAAGCUCGUAGUUGAAUUUCGGGAUUAAUAUGCUGGUCGUGCCAUUGGUACGUACUAGUAUUAUUGAUUUCUCCCUUCUGAUGAAUCAUGAUGUCAUUAAUUUGAUGUCAUGGGGAAUCAGGACUGUUACUUUGAAAAAAUUAGAGUGUUUAAAGCAGGCUCGCGCUUGAAUACAUUAGCAUGGAAUAAUGAAAUAGGACGUUUGAUUCUAUUUUGUUGGUUUCUAGGAUUGACGUAAUGAUUAAUAGGGAUAGUUGGGGGCAUUAGUAUUCAAUUGUCAGAGGUGAAAUUCUUGGAUUUAUUGAAGACUAACUACUGCGAAAGCAUUUGCCAAGGAUGGUUUCAUUAAUCAAGAACGAAAGUUAGGGGAUCGAAGACGAUCAGAUACCGUCGUAGUCUUAACCAUAAACUAUGCCGACUAGGGAUCGGAUGAUGUUAAUUAUGACUCAUUCGGCGCCUUACG